UUCUCAGCAAUAAAAAAUAAAAAAUAAAAUAUCUGAAAAUUGAGUUAUCAGACUCACAGCCCUUCCUAGUCACUUAUUAUAUUUACUUUUGACCAGUCACAUCUCUCAUAGGUUAAGCAAAGGCCAGGGGAACCUGCUCUUAAGUUUAUGUAAGCAACAAAGAAACUCGCUGGAAAUUAAGAAAUAAUUAAUUAAUACCAGGCACACAGCAACCUAGCUAUCUACCUUAAAACAUCCUAGGCAAAUAGAAUACUUAACUGUAGGUGGCAGAAGCCAAGCCACACCUUAUCUACCUCGUGGUCUGGAGCCCUGGAGUCCUUCUUUAAUGACGAGAUUUUCUAUUCUCUUUUUUCUAUUACUCUCUCGGUCCCACACGUCCUCUGCGUGUAUCGAAACACACGAGAAAUUAAUCACAACAAGGAGAGGGUAUUCCCCGGCUGCCUGGGAUUGAACCCGCGACCAGCGUGACGGGAGAGCCACUCCUUACCGAGUCGGCCAAAGAGGUACCCCACUGGCUAAGUGGGUUAUGGGAGGCUCGUUCAUCAGGCCGUCGCCGCACUACACUUCUUCAGUCCUCUCUCGUUCCUCUCUGCAACACGCCGUGCCCUCCUUACCUUCCAACGGCUUCCCUCGCCUUGCAGCACACAAUCACUCUGGACUUGUGGAUACUACAAAGACAGGAAAACCACCACGAUGGACACGUGGUACGGGAGGCUGGUGAGGGACGUCUGCUCGCGGUGAAGUCUGGGCGGGAGAUGGCUGGAAGAUGGUGGCGGGACCCACAAUGCUCCGCGCCCCGGCCGCGGUCAAGAUGCCAGCUCUCGCCAUACUGACAUAUCGCUUUCUGUGUAACACUUACACUAAUAUAUAAUAAAUAACUAUUGUUAUUUAUUAAUAACCUAACACAUGCACUAGGUAUUUGUGGGUCAUGCAUCCCACACAUAGCUCAGCUUUGGCAGUAAUAACGAAAUGAUUUGAAUAAGGUCCUGUUUCCCGCCUGCCUGGUUUUCCCGCCUGAUCUGUGACUACUUCCCGCUCUCUCAAUCAAAAUGGCGGGGACUCCCGCGGUAUUUUUCCACGGGCUAUUCCUUGAACAAUGAAAUCAUGACAGUGAUGAGUAAUGGGGAUGAGUUAGGGGAGGCGGUGGCUGAAUCGACAGAGCAACACCACCGCGUUCAGGAGGACGCGAGUUCAAUCCCCGCCCGGUGCCACCAAGCUGGGAUUUUUCAGCCGCCGCCGAGUGGCUUAAAA